CACCUCGACACCUACCGCCUCUCGCCCCACCCCCCACAUCCUCCUUCCCGUCCUCAGCACCCCGCCCCCCCUUCCUCUGCCUCCCCCCCAUCCCCAUCCUCAGCGCCCCACCCCUAAUUGCCUCCAACCCAUUUCUCAUUGCUGGGCCCCACUUUCCCAUCCUCCCACUCCCCCAGUCCUUCCCCAGGGUGUGAGGUUCCUCAUCUUCAAUCUCUGCUACACCCAAACCUGCCAGGUUCCCCUUUUCAACCACUGUGGGGUUGUCCAACCCGCCGACACCCAUCCACUCUGGGCUCUCUAAAUCCCACAUUCCCACAAUGCUCCUUGGUAACGCCACUCUUCUCUAUCCCUAAUCCUCCUAUUCCCUUCCCUCAGGUCCUCCUGGACACCCCAGCCCACAGUCAGGCCCCCACAUACAUCCCACUCAUUUACAUGCUGAGCUAGUUCUUCAGGGACCCCCACAGCCCAGCAGACUUCUCCAUCCAUGAGCCCCAUGGACCUGUGGCCAGGAAGGGUGAGGUGUGGUUUUGGCCGAAGAUGAGGUGUUUUGGUAGCCCUGUGGAUGCUGUGUGGUGUCUGGAAUGGGGCGUGUGUGUUCCCAUCAUGCCCCUUCCCCUCUGCCUGCAGAGCUGAGGACAGACAGGUCUGAGGAGCAGAGCAGGAGCUCUGGGAAGGAGAAGAGCAAUAUGAAGAUGGAGUCUAAGAUGAGACCAGGUAACUUCUGUGGAGGGAGACAUGCUGGACAGGGCCUAGGAUUGGGGAGACAAGCAGGGAAAAGAAGUCAUGGGGACGGAGUCCAGCCCUGAGGUGAGAUGGAAAGUGAUCAAGAGCAGUGACAGCGUGAAUCCUGUUGAUGCCAGGCAAGAGCUCCCCAACUGGGACAAGAGUAACCAUCCCUGUCGGUGAGAUGUGUAUCUGGUUUGGGAAGGGCUCUGGUCACAGCCCUACUGGCUCCAGGCAGGGACUUCCCGUUACCUGGGUGUGGGUUUCCGGACUAGCUGUGGCUUCAGGGGAGAUGAUGUUGCCAUUUGCGAGAGCUGAUCAUCUCUCUGGCCAGGAGUGGUGUGUGCUCCCUAGCAGAAAGUUGGAUCCAUGAGGGUGACUCCCUGUUGUGAAUUUCUUUCAUCCUCCUAGGUUUCUCUGUCUGUGUUGGCCAACUUUCACUCA